rnacentral:tRNA from 1 species
CUCCCUGUGGCUCAGUUGGUAGAGCAUGGUGUUUGCAGGGUUGUGGGUUCGAUUCCCACGGGGAGC